CCUACGGGCGGCAGCAGUAGGGAAUUUUCGUCAAUGGGCGCAAGCCUGAACGAGCAAUGCCGCGUGAACGAGGAAGGUCUUCGGAUCGUAAAGUUCUGUUGAAGGGGAAAAAGAGCGGAGAGAGGGAAUGAUCUCUGAUUGAUAUUACCCUUCGAGGAAGUCACGGCUAACUACGUGCCCGCAGCCGCGGUAAUACGUAGGUGGCGAGCGUUAUCCGGAUUGAUUGGGCGGAAAGGGUGCGUAGGCGGCCUGCUAAGUCUGGAGUGAAAGGUACCGGCUCAACCGGUACAGGCUCUGGAAACUGGCGGGCUAGAGGUCAAGAGAGGGCGGUGGAACUCCAUGUGUAGCGGUAAAAUGCGUAGAUAUAUGGAAGAACACCAGUGGCGAAGGCGGCCGCCUGGCCUGUUGACUGACGCUGAGUCACGAAAGCGUGGGGAGCAAAUAGGAUUAGAUACCCCAGUAGUC
rnacentral:rRNA from 1 species